CAUACGACCACGAUACCGAUAGCGAACAAGUACCGUGAGAGAACGUUGAAAAGAAUUUUGAAGAGAGAGUUCAAGAGUACGUGAAACCGUUCAGAAGUAAACCUAAGAAACCCAAAAGAUCGAACAGGGAGAUUCAUCGUCAGCGACGCUGGCUUCGUGUCGGUGGGCGAUGCCCCGCGGGGCCUUCGCGGCUCGCGCGCGGGCACGCCGCCGCGCGCCGAUGUCCGGUGCGUCGUCGUCGUGCACUCCUCCCCAACUAAGAACGUUGCGACCCGCUGGAUGUCGGUCUACGGCUCGGGUGCGGCGUCCGACGCAUCGCACGGUAAAACGGCACGCGUCGAACCCCCGGUUGCCCGGCCGGCUGCCCGGCGGUACACGCAAGAUAUCAGGCCGCAGCUCCCCCCCUUUACGCGCGCAUCCCGCAGCCGCGCGCCCCGGCAACGGGGUCACGCCGGUCGCGCCGGACAAGCUCGCCGCGCGCGUGGAGCGACGUUCGUCGAGCCCGUCGCAAGCGCGCGUCACGGUACACGGAGGCUCAACGGACCCAUCGCCGGCACCGGUCCUGGCCCGCUGUUCGCUCGCACGGCUAACCUUCGAGAGGCCCGCGAACAUCCCCCGCUCCCCGGGGGGCCGGGUGGGGGCGGAUACCAAUCGGCGACUCUACUGCUUUGGGUACUCUUAGGACCUAUCUUGAAACACGGACCAAGGAGUCUAACAUGUACGCGAGUCAUUGGGACGCUCAGCGAGACCUAAAGGCGCAAUGAAAGUGAAGGUCGUCCGCGUUCGGCUGUCGACCGAGGGAGGAUGGGCCGCGUCGCGCAUGCGGCCCCGCACUCCCGGGGCGUCUCGCUCUCAUCGCGAGAGGAGGCGCACCCAGAGCGUACACGUUGGGACCCGAAAGAUGGUGAACUAUGCCUGGUCAGGACGAAGUCAGGGGAAACCCUGAUGGAGGUCCGUAGCGAUUCUGACGUGCAAAUCGAUCGUCGGAACUGGGUAUAGGGGCGAAAGACUAAUCGAACCAUCUAGUAGCUGGUUCCCUCCGAAGUUUCCCUCAGGAUAGCUGGCACUCGGCCGUUCCGCACGGAACGCGCGCGAGUCUCAUCUGGUAAAGCGAAUGAUUAGAGGCCUUGGGGCCGAAACGACCUCAACCUAUUCUCAAACUUUAAAUGGGUGAGAUCUCUGGCUUUCUUGAACUAUGAAGCCACGAGCUCUCUAUCGGAUCAGAGUGCCAAGUGGGCCAUUUUUGGUA
rnacentral:rRNA from 1 species